UGGCUCAGGACGAACGCUGGCGGCGUGCCUAAUACAUGCAAGUCGAACGAACUCUGGUAUUGAUUGGUGCUUGCAUCAUGAUUUACAUUUGAGUGAGUGGCGAACUGGUGAGUAACACGUGGGAAACCUGCCCAGAAGCGGGGGAUAACACCUGGAAACAGAUGCUAAUACCGCAUAACAACUUGGACCGCAUGGUCCGAGCUUGAAAGAUGGCUUCGGCUAUCACUUUUGGAUGGUCCCGCGGCGUAUUAGCUAGAUGGUGGGGUAACGGCUCACCAUGGCAAUGAUACGUAGCCGACCUGAGAGGGUAAUCGGCCACAUUGGGACUGAGACACGGCCCAAACUCCUACGGGAGGCAGCAGUAGGGAAUCUUCCACAAUGGACGAAAGUCUGAUGGAGCAACGCCGCGUGAGUGAAGAAGGGUUUCGGCUCGUAAAACUCUGUUGUUAAAGAAGAACAUAUCUGAGAGUAACUGUUCAGGUAUUGACGGUAUUUAACCAGAAAGCCACGGCUAACUACGUGCCAGCAGCCGCGGUAAUACGUAGGUGGCAAGCGUUGUCCGGAUUUAUUGGGCGUAAAGCGAGCGCAGGCGGUUUUUUAAGUCUGAUGUGAAAGCCUUCGGCUCAACCGAAGAAGUGCAUCGGAAACUGGGAAACUUGAGUGCAGAAGAGGACAGUGGAACUCCAUGUGUAGCGGUGAAAUGCGUAGAUAUAUGGAAGAACACCAGUGGCGAAGGCGGCUGUCUGGUCUGUAACUGACGCUGAGGCUCGAAAGUAUGGGUAGCAAACAGGAUUAGAUACCCUGGUAGUCCAUACCGUAAACGAUGAAUGCUAAGUGUUGGAGGGUUUCCGCCCUUCAGUGCUGCAGCUAACGCAUUAAGCAUUCCGCCUGGGGAGUACGGCCGCAAGGCUGAAACUCAAAGGAAUUGACGGGGGCCCGCACAAGCGGUGGAGCAUGUGGUUUAAUUCGAAGCUACGCGAAGAACCUUACCAGGUCUUGACAUACUAUGCAAAUCUAAGAGAUUAGACGUUCCCUUCGGGGACAUGGAUACAGGUGGUGCAUGGUUGUCGUCAGCUCGUGUCGUGAGAUGUUGGGUUAAGUCCCGCAACGAGCGCAACCCUUAUUAUCAGUUGCCAGCAUUAAGUUGGGCACUCUGGUGAGACUGCCGGUGACAAACCGGAGGAAGGUGGGGAUGACGUCAAAUCAUCAUGCCCCUUAUGACCUGGGCUACACACGUGCUACAAUGGAUGGUACAACGAGUUGCGAACUCGCGAGAGUAAGCUAAUCUCUUANAGCCAUUCUCAGUUCGGAUUGUAGGCUGCAACUCGCCUACAUGAAGUCGGAAUCGCUAGUAAUCGCGGAUCAGCAUGCCGCGGUGAAUACGUUCCCGGGCCUUGUACACACCGCCCGUCACACCAUGAGAGUUUGUAACACCCAAAGUCGGUGGGGUAACCUUUU
rnacentral:rRNA from 1 species